rnacentral:tRNA from 1 species
UUAAUUGAAGCUAAAAAGAAGCAUUUUACUGUUAAUAAAAAAAAUGAAUUAAAUUCCAAUUAAA